rnacentral:lncRNA from 1 species
CUUAGUUGCGUCUUCUUGAUCUGUCUCGUGCUUCCGUUAUUUAGAUGGAGUCAGUUUUCCAGGAGUGUUGAGAAUGAGAGCAUUCUCUUCCCCCUUCCUGUGAGACAAACUUACUAAACAAGAGUGCCAGGUGGGAACUCAAGGACAGAAGCAGAGGUAACGAGUCAGCUGGUUCUGCAUUUGUCAUCGUUCGCUGUUCCUUCUUUGGAGGGGAGUUAUUUUCCCUGAGCUGGGACCACAGGGACAGGUUUGAGGAGACAGCGCAUGGUUGCUUGUGCGGCCUGGUGUGAAGAGGACCGGCUAACCCUGCAGAGGGUGUCAACUUAAGGUGGGGUUUGUGUUAAAUGGUGUCUGAGUGUCUUAUUUUCCCUUUAUUAAAAAGCUUGUUUUGUAUUGAAUUUAUGCAAAGACAUGGUGAUGGGGAAGGUAGUGGGAAUUGUUUGUAGGUUGAUUAUUGGGUUAGAGUGAUGGCUCUGAAUGUCUGACUGUCUGUCUGUCUGUCUCUCUGUCUGUCCAUCCGUCCGUCCCUUUCCCCACCUCCAGAAUCUCCCAGCAGGAGAGGUUAAACUAUCCAGAGUUAGGAACUUCAUUUUAGGUACUGAGUUUCUGGGCCACAAUGAAGUCUACUUACUUGAGUAAGCAAAAAAGAGACUGAUUGAUGCUCUCAGUUGCUGAGCCCCUUGCCCAACACCACCCAAUGCUGACUGAUUAGUUACCAUUUUUAGAACAGCAGCAUCUUUAGAUGGGAAUUUUUAUUUGGAAAACGG